UAGCAGACGACAGAGCACAGCAGUCUAACC
rnacentral:piRNA from 1 species